UACCAGCAAGCACACUGUUCAUCAACCUGGGCUCUCAUUAACCCCGAUGCCAACCUCUGAGCUUUUACAAUUUACAAUCCAGUUUCUCCUCACUGCAGCCACACUGUAAUUUAACCUAGUUCAACCUGUGAUGUCGAGAUUUAGCAUUUGGGGGUGCAGCAGAUUCAUGGCAUGCACUGUGUUGAGGCUUUAAAAAUGACUGAUGGAUGCUGUUGGUUAAGUCUCGCCGUUUUGACGUGAGUCCGUUCUGAGCAGGUCUUUCAAGAGUUUGGUAAUGACUUUCGGUGUUGGUUUGCAGCAGGUCGAAUUGAGUUAGUAAUGCGGUUUUGUCAGGUUACUGCUUUGGCAGGGACAGGAUGUCUGUUGUGGGACUGUAGGGGGUUCUUGAGUUUGGUAACCACAUUGCUAUCCCGAAUAUAAUGUGCCCUUUCUCAAUCGACUCUGAGAAUCAUUUUUCAUGUCAGCACCUCUGUCUCAUCCCAAUACAAGACAAUCACCAUCUUUAAUCAUGUCGGCUCGCUUCGGACUUUUUGAGAUCCUUUGUGUUCAUUUUCAAGAUCCUUGAGGCUUGUCCGAGGCUUAUUGGAAUUUUAUCAUAUUGAGGCUUCUUUGAAACUUCUGGUAAUGUGUAAUAGUUUCUGUUACGCGGCCUUUGCCACGGGGAGAAACAGACGAUGUACAUGUUGGAACAUCCAUCUCUACUCAUCAUCCACAAGAUGCUUACAUCGUAGCGGGCCAACUGAGAUCCUAGAAACAAGGCUUAGCCCUCAACUCCUUGUUUGAUCCCAUUCGUACUUGCACCCGCAAACUCUACUGUUUCUGUGUGUAAGUGUGCACCACCUUCUAUAUACUAUUGAUUUUAUUCCCUCAGUGUAAACCUCUUCUUUGUCUACUUUGAAGGUACUAGCAUCCACAGUCUACUGAGUCUUAAGAUAUGUCAGUGGUACACAUGCGUUUCUUCCAGUGACGUGAUCCCGAGCAGUAAAAGCGUGCGAUCAUGGGUGCGCGUCAGUGCGUAUGCUUUUCCCUCUUUCCAAAUGCAGUGGUACCCACCAGAAGGGCUUGUCACCCAGUAAGGAAUGUCGUCGGAGAAAUGAUCAAGACGAACAAAUAUGUGCCCUAGACUUGUGAAACAGGUGCUUCCAUUAUUGAAGUUCAUUUAAAAGGUGAAAUUUUUUGACCCCAGCAACAGGAAUCACAUGCCGAGUCUGCAUAUUUGCGUCUCCUUUUGUAAAACGCAAUUCUCCAAAUCUACCAUUAAUCUGUGGAUGCCUUUGAGGGCUCACCAUAGUUUGUAGCGCUCGAACACGAUGGCAUUGUGAGUGGGCGGUAUGUGUAGAGCUUCUUUAGAUGAUCUCCACCCUUACGAGGUGAGCUCUGACACAAUAUUCACGUGAACAAUCAAAGGGUUUCUGAGUGAUAUUUUCUCCGCGAACUGUUCGGCGUUCCGGUUGUAAAUGCGUAGCAGCGCUUGGUGUAAUUACUUGCAAUAUCUUGCUUUCUUAAAGGGGCAGCUCUCAAUAGAAUCGAUUCACUAAUCCCUCGCAUCUGUUUAGACCACAGAUUCUCUUUUCCAAUGACGCAGCACUCGCUCAGAUGACAGGCACACAGGCUUGCAGUCUCAGCUUUUCGUUCAGUGCACAAAUUAAAAACGCGAUGAUGUCACUGUUAAGUCAUCAAGAAUGAAAAGCCUCACAUUAUUCAGCAUUGGAUGCUGUGAUCCGACCAACUUUUCCUUUCACUGGAGAAGUUGUUGAAAGUUGAAUCUUACACGUACGAUAUCAGCGUGUAGCAGUCAUUUCCAGCAACUCUUUCACGUCGAGAAUGAAGGGUUGGAACCGUAACUGAUAGAUUGCGUCUGUUCCACCACUGCAAUCCAUACGAGCUCUACUUUUGAAAACAGGUUUCUCAAAAGGCAGCGCUGUGAUGACCUCAACCUUGAGGUAGUCGUGGUUUCUUUGUGGUUGAUGUUGGAAAGCAUCGGUAUUGUUGAUGAAAUCUGACCCUCACGUUAACGGGUAAACAUUACAGAAGACGGAAAUAUCAGUAUGCUGUUGUGCAGGUGGAAGAGUUCAACAACUGACCUGCGUAAUGAGGACCAAGGACAUGACCUUCAUGUUUCGAAGAGCUUUUGCGUCAGCCAUCCCUAACGAAAAUUACGUGAAAGGGCUCGUCCGAUGUGCUUCAGCAGGCUCGUCACAGUCCACUAAAGUCCAGAAGUUUGUAAAGCUCCUUGUCACACCCUCCUCUUGUGAUAAACGAGGAGUUUGACUAGUUGCUCUGUCGACCUAUGUUGGUUGGUUCCUUAAAAGUCUUGUGGAAGGACAUGACUAGGUUAACUUCGCAAUUUCCAGGUACCUUAUCUCCAUUCUCAGCAUCCUUCUGCAUAGGCCUUGUCACCAUGGGAAUGGAGGACUUCGUUGGGGCUACCAGGUUGCAUUAAAAACUUGCGCAGAGUUCUUAGCGUCUGCUUGAAGAUUAAACUACCGCACAGGUCAGUGCCAGUGGAUUGUGGUGGGACCGGAGAUGAGAUUUUCCAGAUGCAGCUUGCAUCCAAGUGGGGUGUGCUUCGAGGACCAUGCUUUCCUUCGACUACCAGCUUCUUGUGCAAGUUCACUGGCAAGCUUUUUAGCUUCUUUGAUUUGUGGGAGGGUCAUUUAUUGCGUAAGGUGGUGACUUCUGAUCACUUGAAAGUUUUCAUACUCCCCCUGAAAAGCUGCACAGUAUUGUUUUAACUCCACCCAUUUACUGUACUUUUAUGAUAAAUGAGUCUGAGUUCGAAGGAUAAGUUUUCACCAUAGGAACUACUAGAUGUCCUAAGGCGUGGCAUGCAUGCCUAAGGUUGAUGCAGGCGUGUGAUUUAAAAAGUGGUACUUUUAGCUUAAAAUGUACUAUCCACAGAAAAUCUAUGUGUGUUGCAACCUUGUGCAAACACAUUUGAUUAUUGACAUGAUCGAAAACUGGGCAUACCGUAAUGUAUAAUCAUUUCACAGGUUCAAACUUGCAAAGGAAUAUUUAAAUUCAA